rnacentral:sRNA from 1 species
CUCACGCCUGUAAUCCCUGCGAUUUGGGAGGCCAAGGUGGGUUGGAUUCCUAGAGGAUCACGUGAGGUUGGGAGUUCUAGACCAGCCUGGCCAACAUGGUGAAACCCUGUCUCUACUAAUAAUACAAAAAUUAGCCAGGUGUGGUGGUGCAGUAAUCCCAGCUACUCGGGGGGCUGAGGCAGGAGAAUCGCUUGAACCCAGGAGGUGGAGGUUGCAGUGAGCCGAGAUCGUGCCAUUGCACUCCAGCCUGGGUGACAAAAGCAAAACUGUCUCAAAAAAAAAAACAAACCCCAAAAAAAACAGUAUGGGUUCCUUGACCAUCCCGGUCAACAUAACUUUAGGGGGUUAAACGGGGUGAAAACCAUCUAAGGACACAGAGGUGGCCUUAGCUUGAGAUAAUUGUCCCCAUGUCUAGAAAAUGUUCCCAGGGGUUCCAUAGUUGAUCCCUUAGCCAUGCCGUGUUGCCCCAGAAGGAGAGUGGGGACCUGGCCUAGAAUGUCUUGACUUGGAGUUCCCUUUGCAGGCUGUAUGAAAUAUUGGAAUUGGCUGAGGACAUGGAAAUUGACAUCCCCCACGUGUGGCUCUACCUAGCGGAACUGGUAACACCCAUUCUGCAGGAAGGUGGGGUGCCCAUGGGGGAGCUGUUCAGGUAAGUCCCCCUGGGUGGAAUUCAGGGGAGGUAAAGACCAGAGGGAAGGUGGUAGGGAAAUGGCUGGGUUGGAUACCCUGGUUUGGAGGGAGAUGGAGUAGUGGUGAGGGAACUGUGGAGGCUGUCAGCAUGAGGUUUUUCUCUUCUUGUAGGGAGAUUACAAAGCCCCUGAGACCGUUGGGCAAAGCUGCUUCCCUGUUGCUGGAGAUCCUGGGCCUCCUGUGCAAAAGCAUGGUGAGUGAGGGCCAGGAGUCCAGAGAUGCCUCCCACGGUGUGGUUUUGGCUGUUUGCUGUGGCCCUGAAGCUUCAUGGUCCAUUGGUGGAGUGGAGUGAUGGUGAUGGCAGGAUUGUGUUGGUACCUGGGAGAGGAAAUACUGAGGGUCCUAAAAAGGUGGGGACACUGUGGCGAGAAGCUGGGCUUAGCUGGAAGGAAUUUCUACCUGAAGGCCAGGACAUUGGUGCAUUCGUCGCUGAACAGAAGGUGGAGUAUACCCUGGGAGAGGAGUCGGAAGCCCCUGGCCAGAGGGCACUCCCCUCCGAGGAGCUGAACAGGCAGCUGGAGAAGCUGCUGAAGGAGGGCAGCAGUAACCAGUGGGUGUUCGACUGGAUAGAGGCCAACCUGAGUGAGCAGCAGAUAGUAUCCAACACGUUAGUUCGAGCCCUCAUGACGGCUGUCUGCUAUUCUGCAAUUAUUUUUGAGACUCCCCUCCGAGUGGACGUUGCAGUGCUGAAAGCGCGAGCGAAGCUGCUGCAGAAAUACUUGUGUGACGAGCAGAAGGAGCUACAGGCGCUCUACGCCCUCCAGGCCCUUGUAGUGACCUUAGAACAGCCUCCCAACCUGCUGCGGAUGUUCUUUGAUGCGCUGUAUGACGAGGACGUGGUGAAGGAGGAUGCCUUCUACAGUUGGGAGAGUAGCAAGGACCCCGCUGAGCAGCAGGGCAAGGGUGUGGCCCUUAAAUCUGUCACAGCCUUCUUCAAGUGGCUCCGUGAGGCAGAAGAGGAGUCUGAUCACAACUGAGGGCUGGUGGGGCCGGGGACCUGGAGCCCCAUGGACACACAGAUGGCCCGGCUAGCCGCCUGGACUGCAGGGGGGCAGCAGCAGCGGCGGUGGCAGUGGGUGCCUGUAGUGUGAUGUGUCUGAACUAAUAAAGUGGCUGAAGAGGC